GGCCCCUUCGGGGGUACACGAGCAGCGAACGGGUGAGUAUCGCGUGGGUAACCUACCCAGAAGUGCGGGAUAGCCUCGGGAAACCGGGGGUAAUACCGCAUAAGGUUUCGACGACAUAAGUCGAUGAGAGCAAAGGCGGGGAUCCUUCGGGACCUGUCGCUUCUGGAUGGGCCCGCGUCCGAUUAGCUAGUUGGUGAGGUAAUGGCUCACCAAGGCUGCGAUCGGUAGCCGGCCUGAGAGGGUGAACGGCCACAUUGGGACUGAGACACGGCCCAGACUCCUACGGGAGGCAGCAGUGGGGAAUCUUGGGCAAUGGGGGAAACCCUGACCCAGCGACGCCGCGUGGAGGAUGACGGCCUUCGGGUUGUAAACUCCUGUCAGGUGGGAAGAAGAGCUUGUCGGUUAAUACCCGGCAGGAAUUGACGGUACCACCAAAGGAAGCCCCGGCUAACUCCGUGCCAGCAGCCGCGGUAAUACGGAGGGGGCAAGCGUUAUUCGGAUUUACUGGGCGUAAAGCGCACGUAGGUGGCAUGGUAAGUCAAAGGUGAAAGCCCUCGGCUCAACCGAGGAACUGCCUCUGAAACUGCUUUGCUUGAG
rnacentral:rRNA from 1 species